GGGUUCAUAGCUCAAUGGUAGAGGAAUUGAUUGCAUCUCAAUAGGUCAUCGGAUCAAACAUGGUUGGCCCCU
rnacentral:tRNA from 1 species